UUUGCACCGAAAGAAGAAGGAAUAGUUGUGAAGAGGACGAAGAAACAAUUUGGUAAUACGAAGAAUGAAUCGAAACUACUAAAAGCCCAGAAACAAGUGAAACGCGCCGUUGAACUACAUUUGAAAAUUUUUGACAUAUUUGAUAUUCUCGCGAGCAUCCAUAGCGGUACAAUAUUUUCGAUUUUUCUGCCGAAUGCGGUUCUUAUGGGGAUUUCCCUGUAUGAUUUUGAACAUUCAUUGGCUAAGAUGGACUCGUACGGCCUUUCGUUUGCUAUUCUUUGCUUGAUUUGUUCUUUAAUUUGGCCAUUUCUUCUGUGUAACUUUGCGACUUUUGCUACCCAACGAAUGAAAUUCAUUGCAUAUGAUGCAUACGAUUCGAAUUGGUACGACUGUC